rnacentral:rRNA from 1 species
CGAUUGAAUGGCUCAGUGAGGCCUUCGGACUGGCCCAGGGAGGUCGGCAACGACCACCCAGGGCCGGAAAGUUCGUCAAACUUGGUCAUUUAGAGGAAGUAAAAGUCGUAACAAGGUCUCCGUAGGUGAACCUGCGGAGGGAUCAUUAAACGAAACAAAGCCCGUGGCGAGCCUCCGGGCGCGCCACGGGCCCAGUCUCAAACCCUUUGUCGUCCGACUAUGUUGCCUCGGGGGAGACCCUGCCUCCGGGCGGGUGGCACCCCGGUGGACCAAACCAAACUCUUGCGUAACCAGUCGUCUGAGUAGAUUUACAAAAUAAAUCAAAACUUUCAACAACGGAUCUCUUGGUUCUGGCAUCGAUGAAGAACGCAGCGAAAUGCGAUAAGUAAUGUGAAUUGCAGAAUUCAGUGAAUCAUCGAAUCUUUGAACGCACAUUGCGCCCCGUGGUAUUCCGCGGGGCAUGCCUGUUCGAGCGUCAUUACACCACUCAAGCCUCGCUUGGUAUUGGGCGACGCGGUACGCCGCGCGCCUCAAAUCUUUCGGCUGGGUCUGAAUCGUCCCUCAGCGUUGUGGAAACUAUUCGCUAAAGGGUUCGCGUUCGGUCACGCCGUUAAACAAAACCAUUUUCAUUAAAGGUUGACCUCGGAUCAGGUAGGGAUACCCGCUGAACUUAAGC